rfam:Trichosporon oleaginosus strain IBC0246 unplaced genomic scaffold CC85scaffold_12, whole genome shotgun sequence.
GGCCACUUAGCUCAGCUGGUUAGAGCGCAUGCUUAACACGUGAUUCUCGCGCGCUUCAGACGCGUGGAUAUGAGUUACGCAUGAGGUCGGCGGUUCGAUCCCGCCAGAGGUCA